GCCUACAUACCAAAUUUUAUGUAUGGGCAGGCGGAUAUGGCCAAGAAGACUUAGCUCAUCAUCCUGUUCAUGAGUAUAUAUACAUUAUUCGGAUACGCUUUCUUCAGCAACAAAGUUUGGUAGCACACUUGCUAAGCUGACAAGCGGGUACCCCAUCAUUACCAGGAUCUAAAAUUCAGUCUGUUACUGAUGUGGAUAAAGAUGACCUUUAUUGUGCCCCUAGGAACUAGCAGGGAACAGAAUCUCCUUACAAUUGUACAAUUGAGACCAGUUGGAUUGGAAUGCGAACGUUGGGCUUAUAAAAAAGCAGACCUUCGAAAACAAACGGUUCCAACCAGAAAGCUGCUGAAUGAAUCCAAACAAAUUUCAAAUCAAGAGAUGUGUCUCUUGACUGACGCAUUGGAUUAAGGACAACUCAACCCGACAACCAGGCAGUGUCAAGAAGAUUAAAGUCGUCAGGACCGACCUAGAAGUUUUUAUCUGAGAGUAGGUAGGAGAUGGAUUUAAAAGCGUGAAUAAUACAAAAAAAAGUCAGAGGCAGGCAGUGUCAAAGAAGAUUAAAGUCGCCAAGUUAUUAUCAGAACGUCGGGAGGAGAAAUGAAAUAAAAAAAGGAAAAUAAAAAACACCCUCAAACUGAACCCCUAAGAUGAGAGGCUCAGUAGGCUCCGACGGAAGAGUAGACUCAACAGCUAUAUUGAGUACUCCUCCUCCGAUAUGCGAAGCUCGAUUGCAUCUGUGGGUAGUUUAGGGCGUCGUUGGGAAAAUUCGAGUUUUGCCAUGCUGGUUUGAAAUUUAUAGUUAAUCUACAUUUAGAUAUUAUCAAGCGAUAGCUUAUCCCACGAAUCAGAUGUCUGUCUAUUGGAUUUUUUGGACUUUUUCUAAAUCGCAAUGAAAAUACCGACACAGGUAUCGAAUGUUAACAAGAGCCUAAGAUUUACUUUCAAUCAUUAACAUUUUUCUGUAUUGCACUGUACAUGUUUUACAUUUGCAUAUACAUUUUUCAUACCUGAAUG